rnacentral:rRNA from 1 species
GAUGAACGCUGGCGGCGUGCCUAAUACAUGCAAGUCGAGCGAAGCGGGGACGGGUGAGUAACACGUGGAUAACCUACUAUAAGACUGGGAUAACUUGGGGAAAACGGAGCUAACCCGGAUACUGCUAGCUGGAUCGGCGCUGCAUUAGAUAGUUGGUAAGGGAACGGAUUACCAUGGCAACGAUGAAUAGCCGACCUGAGAGGGUGAUCAGCCACACUGUAACUGAGACACGGGCCAGACUCCUACGGGAGGCAGCAGUAGGGAAUCUUCCGCAAUGGGCGAAAGCCUGACGGAGCAAAGCCGCGGGAGUGAUGAAGGUCUUCGGAUCGUAAAACUCUGUUAUUAGGGAAGCGUUACCUAAUCAGAAAGCCACGGCUAACUACGUGCCAGCAGCCGCGGUAAUUC